rnacentral:rRNA from 2 species
UAAUUGGGCGUUAAGUUGCAGGGUAUAGACCCGAAACCCGGUGAUCUAGCCAUGGGCAGGUUGAAGGUUGGGUAACACUAACUGGAGGACCGAACCGACUAAUGUUGAAAAAUUAGCGGAUGACCUGUGGCUGGGGGUGAAAGGCCAAUCAAACCGGGAGAUAGCUGGUUCUCCCCGAAAGCUAUUUAGGUAGCGCCUCGUGAAUUCAUCUCCGGGGGUAGAGCACUGUUUCGGCUAGGGGGCCAUCCCGGCUUACCAACCCGAUGCAAACUGCGAAUACCGGAGAAUGUUAUCACGGGAGACACACGGCGGGUGCUAACGUCCGUCGUGAAGAGGGAAACAACCCAGACCGCCAGCUAAGGUCCCAAAGUCAUGGUUAAGUGGGAAACGAUGUGGGAAGGCCCAGACAGCCAGGAUGUUGGCUUAGAAGCAGCCAUCAUUUAAAGAAAGCGUAAUAGCUCACUGGUCGAGUCGGCCUGCGCGGAAGAUGUAACGGGGCUAAACCAUGCACCGAAGCUGCGGCAGCGACACUGUGUGUUGUUGGGUAGGGGAGCGUUCUGUAAGCCUGUGAAGGUGUGUCGUGAGGCAUGCUGGAGGUAUCAGAAGUGCGAAUGCUGACAUAAGUAACGAUAAAGCGGGUGAAAAGCCCGCUCGCCGGAAGACCAAGGGUUCCUGUCCAACGUUAAUCGGGGCAGGGUGAGUCGACCCCUAAGGCGAGGCCGAAAGGCGUAGUCGAUGGGAAACGGGUUAAUAUUCCCGUACUUGGUGUUACUGCGAAGGGGGGACGGAGAAGGCUAUGUUGGCCGGGCGACGGUUGUCCCGGUUUAAGCGUGUAGGUGUGUGUUCCAGGUAAAUCCGGUUCACUUUAACACUGAGGCGUGACGACGAGGCACUACGGUGCUGAAGCAACAAAUGCCCUGCUUCCAGGAAAAGCCUCUAAGCAUCAGGUAACAUCAAAUCGUACCCCAAACCGACACAGGUGGUCAGGUAGAGAAUACCAAGGCGCUUGAGAGAACUCGGGUGAAGGAACUAGGCAAAAUGGUGCCGUAACUUCGGGAGAAGGCACGCUGACACGUAGGUGAAGUGAUUUACUCAUGGAGCUGAAGUCAGUCGAAGAUACCAGCUGGCUGCAACUGUUUAUUAAAAACACAGCACUGUGCAAACACGAAAGUGGACGUAUACGGUGUGACGCCUGCCCGGUGCCGGAAGGUUAAUUGAUGGGGUCAGCGCAAGCGAAGCUCCUGAUCGAAGCCCCGGUAAACGGCGGCCGUAACUAUAACGGUCCUAAGGUAGCGAAAUUCCUUGUCGGGUAAGUUCCGACCUGCACGAAUGGCGUAAUGAUGGCCAGGCUGUCUCCACCCGAGACUCAGUGAAAUUGAACUCGCUGUGAAGAUGCAGUGUACCCGCGGCAAGACGGAAAGACCCCGUGAACCUUUACUAUAGCUUGACACUGAACAUUGAGCCUUGAUGUGUAGGAUAGGUGGGAGGCUUUGAAGUGUGGACGCCAGUCUGCAUGGAGCCGACCUUGAAAUACCACCCUUUAAUGUUUGAUGUUCUAACGUGGACCCGUUACCCGGGUUGCGGACAGUGUCUGGUGGGUAGUUUGACUGGGGCGGUCUCCUCCUAAAGAGUAACGGAGGAGCACGAAGGUUGGCUAAUCCUGGUCGGACAUCAGGAGGUUAGUGCAAUGGCAUAAGCCAGCUUGACUGCGAGCGUGACGGCGCGAGCAGGUGCGAAAGCAGGUCAUAGUGAUCCGGUGGUUCUGAAUGGAAGGGCCAUCGCUCAACGGAUAAAAGGUACUCCGGGGAUAACAGGCUGAUACCGCCCAAGAGUUCAUAUCGACGGCGGUGUUUGGCACCUCGAUGUCGGCUCAUCACAUCCUGGGGCUGAAGUAGGUCCCAAGGGUAUGGCUGUUCGCCAUUUAAAGUGGUACGCGAGCUGGGUUUAGAACGUCGUGAGACAGUUCGGUCCCUAUCUGCCGUGGGCGCUGGAGAACUGAGGGGGGCUGCUCCUAGUACGAGAGGACCGGAGUGGACGCAUCACUGGUGUUCGGGUUGUCAUGCCAAUGGCACUGCCCGGUAGCUAAAUGCGGAAGAGAUAAGUGCUGAAAGCAUCUAAGCACGAAACUUGCCCCGAG